CAUGAUCAUACUAUGAUAUAAAUCCUACUCCACCCCUACCAUCACUUCAUUCAUACUCACUGUACUAUUGAGUAAACUACAAUUUGAAAGGACCAAUUCAUUGCUCCACUUUAAUUUACAAAACAAAAAGAUGAACAGCAAGAUGCGUGGUGUUGGUAUGUCUCGCCAUAACAAGACAUUUGGUAGGAUAACGUGACUUGUAAUGUGCAGUAGUUUUAUCAUUUCUCACUAUCCUUCAACCUUUCAUUUUUGUUACUGUGCCAUUGUUUAUCCGAACUCCUAAACUCUCCUUCAUUCUCUUCUGCAAAAUUCACCGAACUCCUAAACUUUCCUUCAUUCUCCUCUGCAAAUUCUACUGACACCCCCCUUUAAAAAACCCUGCUGAAGAAGACUGUUAGGUCGAAACGCGUACAGGGUUGCCUUUCCUUUUCUCUCCUUUAUCUCUCGACUUAUCGUUUCCAAUUAACCAAUUCACCCCUCCUUCAGUUUCUAUAAUCCUU